CAUGAGUCAUGCAAACUACCACAGACAUGCUGGGAUCUGAAGGCAUUAAAUUCUGGGAGAUACCAUACUUUCCUCCUCUUAGGACUUCUCAGCACAUGUUUCUUUAACUCGGAGAGAAACAGAAUUGUGCGAAAUAAAGAAGUAUAGUACCUGACAUGCAUCAACAUGGAACUUUCUCCUUUGGGAUUCUCACUGCAUUUGCAUAGACACAGUUUAUUGUAGUUGCUUUAUAAUUAUAAGAAGCUGGAGAGACUGGAAAUUGAACUGUGAUAUAUAGAGGAGGCUGCUCUGGGUAUAGUUUCUAUGAUGAGAAAGUUUAUUGUAUACACUUGGAGACUCUUAAAAACCGAAGACUAAAAUACAUCAAAGGAAAAAAGAAUGAGGGUGACAUAUCACAGCUCUGUAUACUACCCAGAUGCGGUUUCCUCGAGUAUUGAUGCUCUACAGAAAGUCAAAAGGAGCCCAUGAAAUUAUGUAUGUUGGCUUGCUGCUUCCUUGGAGAAAAUGCCAAAUAAGAGGCUGUCAAACAAAUAUAAUAAAACCUAUGAAAGAAAUAAAUCCCCCAGUACGUGGCUGUAUAUCCUAGUUGAAGGUCCUUCUAGUUCUUCUAUGUGGGACAUCGCCUCAGCAUGGCUUGAUGAGCGAAAGCAAUCCUGGUCUGAACGGAGUCCUUUUCUCUCCCACAUCAGUGCUCCCUCCUGAAUAGCCUUGGUGAGUGAGUUUGGUGAGUCUUGUUGGUGAGUCUGUUUCUAUUGC